GGGUCUUGUUUUAUUAUUCAUUUAGCUAGUCUAUAGCUUUUAAUUAUGGAAUUUAAUCCAUUUACAUUCAAGAUCAUUAUUGAUAGGUGAAGACUUAUUCUUAUCCUUUUGUUAAUUAUUUUCUGGCUGUUUUGAUGCUGUUUGUUUUUUUUUCCUCUCUCAUUUUUUUAUCAUUGUGGUUUGGUGUUUUUCAUAAUUGUAGUUAGUGUGUUUUUAUUUCUGGAUAUAGAACUCCUUUAAGGAUUUCUCAUAAGGCCCAUCAAGUUAUCACACAUUCCCUCAGUUCUUGCUUGUCUGGAAAGGGUUAUUUCUCCUUCAUUUUUGAAGAAUAGCUUUCCUGAAUACAGUACUCUUAGCUGGCAGUUUUGUUCUUUCAGCACUUUGAACACGUCAUCCCAUUCUCUUCUGGCCUUUAAGAUUUUUGCUGAAACCUUAUAUGUGUAUUCCUUUAUAUGUGACUUGGGGAAAUCUAUUUGUUUUUUUUUUCUGUUUGGGAUUUUCUUAUAUGUGACAUGAUGCUUUUCUUUUGCUAUAUUAAGAAUUCUCUCUGUGCUUUUGACUUGUGGCAGUUUUACUAUAACGUCCCUUGGAGAGGACCUAUUUGGCUUGAAUCUGUUUGGGAACUUUUGAGCUUCCUGGAUCUGGAUGUCCAUAUUUUUCCCAAGACUUGGUUUUGACAGUUUGACUAUGAAGUACUUUGCAGAAGACCUUUUGGGGUUGAAUCUAUUUGAGGAUAUUUGAGAUUCUCGUAUUUGGAUAUCUAUAUCUCUUCAAGACCUAUGGAAGACUUUUUCCUGAAGAUGACUCUGUGGUGUUGGUUAGGCAAGGCGCAUUGGCUUUGAUUCUGGGUUGAAGUUUAUGUCUGGAGAAAUUAACUCCCCACUAUUUCUGGCCUACCUGGAUAUGGGCAGCACAUGCUCUUCAGGCAGAGGAAGUCCAGAGUCAAAGAGACACAAAUGCUUGAGGUAGGAACUCAUUGGUUUGUGAAGUGAACUGUCUGCCAAAGCAGUAGGCAACCAAUGCUACAGGAGUGGGUCAGGGAAUAUGGGUGAGGCACCAACUGUCUGUGUCAGAAGACUGUUGUUUUCAGAUAUGAGGAAUUCAGACUUACACUCCCUAAACUUAUACUCUGUUAGUGGCCAUAAAAAUAGAUCGGUAGUGCUUUGUGCUUUUUGUGGAUAAUUCCUGUUCAUCCACCAAAUCUCCAUUUAGAGCCAAUCUGCCUGAACUUAAUUUAUCCUUGUAAUUCUACACAGGCUGUUCUUGUAUUGACCAUAAUCAUUGUCUCUUGGUGGUCUACCUACCCAGAAAGUAUGCUGUAUCCUGACUGCCCACCAGAGCUCCCAAAUAAGCCAUAUCAGAAUGCAAGGAUAAUUUAAUUUCAUCUUUAGCACCCCCUUUCACCCUCAAAGUGUUUGUUUCUUAGUAAGGGGUAUAUGUGUUGGGGAGUGGGUGUUUGAACACAGCAAUAAACCUACACAGUGGCUCCCACUGAUGUUCAGCCAUGUUCUGAACAUGUUAUAAUUACUGGUGGGCACAGCCUGUCAGAAGUCUGUUUGUAGAAGGAUUUAAGAUCAUCCUGGGAGAUAAUUAUUAUAAGGGGUGAGGAAGUUAGGGGUGACAGCUUGAUCCAGUAAUAAGUCUUAGUCAUCAGAGGAGGGGGGCUAUUCUGAGAAUGGUGUGGUGUCUAUGACUCAGAUUUGUCUCCAUUUCUGGCCUCCCUUUAGAGCAUGUCUCAGUCUUUCAGAGAGUUGAGGGUAAAGUUAUAAAUGAAUACUAAAUGAGUUGUUUUGCUAAAACUGUUGGAUACUGGAAGUACCAGUAAGAUUACUUGAGAUCUCUCUAACAGAAUGUAGUACAAUCUAAAGAGAAAGGGCUUAUCUUCCAGUUUCAACAAUGUCCUUGGAGAGGGCCAGAAAAGGGCAAGAGGAAUUGGAAGCCACAUGGUAUCUGACAAGGCUUGUUCAUUAUCACAGCUUGGCCUCAGCUGAAAGAAAAGUUCUCUUGCUUGUGCUUUAACAUGGUUGAUCUGGGCAGGUCUGGAGGAGCUCUGGAAGUCUGUAAAGGAGGUAAGCUCUCCAGGAGGCUGAAGUUCAGAAAAACCAGAAUUAAUACUCCUUUUACUUAGGAUUGUCUCUUAUCAGAGUUAAUCAAUAACAGGACUGAAAUUUCUCACCAAGGAAUGAUGUAAAAUCAGUAAAAGGUUCAGGAAUGGUAGCCUGGGAUUUACAUUAAGUGGGACUGGUCUUAGCCUCAUUGUACAUGCCAGAAAAAAAGCAUACAUUUUAUUUCUAAUUGAGUUAAAAUACAUAUAGUUCAGUAAUGUUAUAUGUCUUCACAUUGUUGUACAACCGAUCUCAAGAACUUUUUCAUCUUGCCAAACUGCAACUCUAUAUCCAUAAAACAACAACUCUCCUGUGAAAUAUAUGCAUAUAUUUUAACUGAAAUAUUUUUCCCCAUCUCUUCACUUGGCUACCUCAUCUUUCAGGCCUUAAUUUAGAUGCCACCUUUUCCAGGAAGCCUUCCAUGAUCACUUAUGUUCAGUGCCCUGAGUGCCCUCUUUUGUAUGAUUUGUUCUGUUUGACUGUAAUUAUAUGUUUAAUUUAGACUGUGAGCUCUUCAAUGGUUGGCGAGGGGUCGGUCUUAUCGCAAUUCGUUGUCUCCUCAGAGCUUAGUGCCUGAAAAGGAGGUGCUUCAUAAGUAAUUGUUAAAUUAACAACCAUCCGUAACAUUACCAAGACUUACUUUAGACCCAAGUGCAAUGAGUUGGGAUGGAGUUUAGACAGAUCACAUCUGCCCACAGGGUGUAUUUCCCAAAUCUUCUGUCAACUACUUGUACUUGAGAGGAAAGGGAGGCACCAGGAAAACAAAACCUUCUGAGAAUGACUCUGCUUUCAGGAAAUGAUAUGAUAGGAACACAUGUAGUAUGGAGGAAGGAAAAUAGGAUUGGAAAUUAGAAGUCCUGAGGUAGAGCCCUAGCUUCUCUACUAAUUACCUUUGUGAUCUUAGACAAUUCAUGGAACCUCUCUGAAUGAAAGUUUCCUCAUCUGUAUACUAUGGCUAACAUAAAACCUGCCACCUUCUGUCACAGAGCUCUUGUGAAGUAAUGAAAAUGCUUUGUGAACUAUAAAACAGCAUAGAGGCAUUAAUUAUUAGAACUGUAAUAUUACAGUGAGGGUUGUUACUUAGGGAAGGGCAAGCAGGAUUCCUGGAUGCCUCCAGGAGUCUGGAGGCUCCAAGUUCAACUUCACAGAUAAUUUUUCUUUGGAGACUGAGAUGAGGCUUUAGAACCUGAUUCUCUUAUAGAGAAUGGACAGCUUCAUUUUCCUUGACUGCAUUGCUUGGUCUUCAGAGAGGCCAAGCAAUAUGCAAAAGGGAUAAUAUGAGAACAAUAAAAAGAAUUCCUGUGUAGAAAAUCGAGAUUUAGAGAAAGCAAGAUUGGAGGUCAGGAGAAAAAUCACAGGGUGAGUACUGGGGACAUGGCUGAGACUUUCUUUUUCAGCCAUGUGAACCCAGGCAAGUUCGUUCUCCUAGGAACUUUACCAGGCUGGUGUCUUGCUCUAGAUGAGCCUCUGUUUCAAAAUGCAAUUGUAGUUCAAAACCGUUUCAAAACGCCAGAAAACUGGAAUAAAAAUCUUUUUUUUUUUUUUUUUUUUUUAAUAAGAGUCAUCCCAUUGGCCUGGAUGCUCUGAAGUUUCCAGACUGCUUUCUCCCUUGUUAUAAGAGAUUAAGAGAUAUCCACUUAAGGGGUACCAUGAAGUUGCUCUAACUUUAAGUUUAGACUUGGAGAAGUUAAAAGCUGUGCAACCUGAUCUGAAUAGAAAUGUGGUCACAAAGCGUAAAGAAAGUCAAUGAAAACAGGAUUUUAAUAUUUUAGAAGCCAUUUCCUCUGCUGCAUUGGAAAUUCAAAUAGAACAGCACGGGGGCAUGGGAAUUGGAAGCAGAAUAUAAAACCUACCAGGACAGAAAAGCAAAACAGAUAUGCCUCAUUUCAUUGUCCAUCAUAAAUAAUUGUUAAUAAACAGCUCAAAUAUGGGAAACUUUCCUUGUCCUAUUUAAUCUCAAAGAAUAAAAAGCGAACUUAGGAACGCAGGUGAAGUUUUGAAAUUGGGCAAUUUUGGCCUAGUUAUUGUGCUGUUAAAUGUUUAUGUAUAUGAAACAUAUUCUUGGAAGAUGUUUGGAGCCUGUCGGUUACUUCAAAUCACUUUCACGUCCACAUCUGUUUCCCAUUAUAAAUCUCUUCAGAUUUGAUUUUUUCCCUAUUGCUCACUUUCUCAUUGUAAAACAACUAAUAUAUUUAUUUAAUUUUACUUCUCCCAUGCUUUUUGUUCCUUUUGAUGUGUAUAAAAUGUGGCUACUACCCAGAAACACCCAAAUGGAGAAGAGUAAUUCUUAAUGCUAAAAGAUUGGUAAAAUCACUUUUCCUUUGAUUCAGUAAGUAGGGCUGUCAGUUUGGUAGGUGAAAAUGUAUAUUUGAAAUCUGACAAAAUGCCAACAUAUGACAUCAAAUUGUGGGCCAGGAACACUCCCAUUGAGUGGAUCCUCCAGUGACACGUUAGGAAUGCAUUUGCUGGGAAGGCAUUCCACCCAACUCACAUCCCUCAAGGUGAUUAAUUGCCUGGUGUGUCUGCUUUGUGCUUUGAACUUGAAAAGCCCAAUAUAAAUACAAAGUAUCUCAGGAUGGGGAUGGUGGUGAGGAUGCUAAUGACAGGAUGAUAGAUAAGAACCUUAGUGAAAUGUGACUUUAAACACUUAAACAGAAUUCAGUAUUUUUUUCUCUCUCUUAUUUUUUUCUUUUUGACACAAGGAAAUAGCAUUUGAAUCCAUGCAGGAAUUCACUGGGUUUGCUUCCAAGAUGGCAUAUUGCUUUACUUCCAUUCAUAAUGAUUUUCAGGUUUUCACACACAUGGUACAUGAAUUACUAGUUCUGUGUUCCCAUCACUUCGGCUGCUAUUAACAACUGGAGAAAAGAAUCUAUAAAACUGUAUAGCCUAUACUUAUCUCUGAACAGAUUUAAUUGGCCACACCUUAAAAGGAAUUCCUUCCUUUGAAUAUAUUGUGCAACCAAAUGCUUCCCCCCCAACCCCACCCCACUGCCUCCUCCUGACUUCCAAUCAAUUUGGGGCCUAAGGCUGGUGUAAUCCAUCGUUGACAGAUAUGUUUAAUGAGCCUGGCUUUGAGCAUUUGUAGCUGAGGGACUGCGGAUUAGGUUUUAUCUUAUUUCACAUCUUGAUUAAUAAUCUGGGAGGAAGCUUCGACAUGCUAAUGGAAUGAAAUUUGCAGUGUGAAUGAAGCUGGGAGACCUUGUAAAGCAAGAGGGAGCUUAGAAAAGCCAGUGUGGGGUGGGCAGGUGGGAAGGCCUGUGUGAGGUGGCCCCAUGGCACUGUUCUGCAGAGGGACUGUGGUGGGAGCCAGAAGGCCCGACCCUUUCCUAGUGUUGCCACAUGGGAUUUGAAGGGCCGCAGCUUGUGUGGCUGCCCAGCACAGAGCUCUUUUGCAAUGUGUUACUCACUGCUAGUUCAUGCCAAUUUUGGGAAAAUAAUCAGAAACACAGGUUUUCCACAUUAAGGAGGAAUCCGGACAGCAGCCGUGCUCAAACAGAUCUGGAGGCAGUAUUUCCUUAUGGGGUGGGCUGUUGGGAAGUGUUUCAUGAAUGGGCUUCACCACCUGCACAUGUGGAAACCUCUUGCUCUGGUCACCUGAAUUAAUUCUCUUGGCCUAUCAAAGUGCUUCUAGAACAGCUCCUCUACUAGAGGAGAAAUGCCACCUAAAUCUUCCUCCAAUUGGAAGCAUUCUCUAAUGAUCGAAAGAGCUGGAUCUCUGUGUUAGAAAAAUCUUAACUUGAUGUUGUCUCUGGUCUAUGUACCCAUUUUAAUGAAUCUAAUAGAGGCUGAAUACUGUGACUCGCCUUCCUGUGGUGAUAUAAAUGCUUUCCCCACAAGGUUCGAAUUAACCCAGCUGUCUUGAUUUGUGUGAGGAGUACUGGUGGGCCAGUUUAAAGUGAAAAUGGGGCUAGAGAGCACACAGUGUGGCUUAUUUAUUCUCGAUUACUUUGCCUGUUACUUUCCAGUGGUAACUUUCAAGAAAUGAAUAAAUUAUACUUUUAAAACAAGAAAGGAAAUUAGAGUAAAAAGUCUUUAUUUCACUCCAUCUCUGCCUGAACCUAAGGCCUGUAGAGGAGACUUGCCUUGCCCAGAGUUACCAGGAUGGAUAUGAAUGGAGCUGGGAUGUGAAUAGUUCUUUGCUUCUCCUUCCAUCCUCUCUCCCUCCACAGAAUUCCUGAGCUGCCCAGUAUUUAGAUUGUAGGCCACAUGGAUAUCUAUCAUGUCCUGGGGAGACUCACUAGAUGACAUAUGGCUUUUGAUUAAUUUAUCGGUCAUAGGAUCAGGAAUUUUGAAGAUUUAGGAAGAGUCUUAUGACAUACUUUAUGGAAUUUUAAAAAUGUACCAGAAGUGAAGAACAUGUUAACUUUUGAGCACUUUGCUCAUAGGAAAUGUUGCUCCUGAAAUUUUUAGAGAAGGCAUGGAGAAGGAAUCAGGGAAAGAAUUUGAUUUUUGUAAACUAUUUUGAAAUUACUGUCAAUUUCAAAGCUAUUUAUGUAUCCCAGUUCUUUGGCUUGGUGAAUAAAGGAAACUUCUGUAACAUCUGGAAAGAUGAAAAUGUCAAACAAAUUAUACUUCCCAAUGAACACAUUCUGUUGUAGUUUUAAUAUCGAGCGACAUACUGGUUAACAAUCUCAGUGCAAUGUCAUUGAAAUUAUUGGAAGAGAGAAGGCUUUCAUAUCAAAAUUAGCCACUUAAGAGCAAAUUGAAAGAUAGGGCAGGGGAGGACUCUUGGAAGAAGAAGGAGGAGAAAAUAUAAUAGAAAUAAUUCAUGGAGACCUGUUAUUUUAGUUUUAGCAGUUUUUACUGUGUGUCUGGCAGAUUAACAUAUUGCUACUUAUUCAUCAUAAUAUUUAUCUGUGAAAAAAGUGAAAGUUUAAUUUAUUUGAAGGUUGUUAUUAUGUCUUGGAAUGAAGAUAUUGGACAAGUAUAAAUAUGUGUGAUUAUUUUUACUAUCUUUGGUUUAAACUCCUAACUUCAAAGUCAGUGGUGAAGGAGGGGUUCCUAACAUCUAGGAGUUUAUGACAGGUCUCUGAAGUAUAAAUUUUGAUUCACCCUAAAUAUGAAAAACAUGUAUUUCCCAGAAGAAUAGAUUUGACCUUUUAAAAAGUUUUAUUUUCUAAUAAAAUAAUGCUGGUGUAAGGGAUUUUUUCUAAAUGUAUAACUUGCUUGAAUUGUGUGAGCUUUAUAAUUUUAAGAGCAUGUGGUCAAAGCAGUGUGUACACAUAGAAGUACAGAAAAGCCCUACUUAAAGAAAGAAGUAAAAUAGUGGGAAGGAAAGCAAAGGAAAAAUAAAAUCAAGUUGAAAUCAAAGGAGGGGUAAAAAUGUCAAUGGAAAAAUAGGAGAGUCCAAAUCUUCUUGAAUAUUUUAUAGCAAGCUUUAGAGCAAGCUUGAUCACCCAAAGGACACACCGCAGGGAUUAGUGUUCGAAAAUGAACAACAGAUGUUGCAUGUCAACAGAUAAUAUCCCAGUGGGUGAAGAGCAUUUAGGGUGAAAGAAAGUAAAACACAUUGUCAGGUGAUCUCUGGUAGUUUGGGUAAAUCUUUGAUGAGGAAUAAGUUUCUUGUGUAACUGUCAGAGGUUUAUUGGAGCAACCCAGUGAUUUUUCCAGUUAAUGGGAUUCUAGUGAAUAUGCAAGGAAGAUUAAUCAGGUAAUGGUCACUUAUAGAACAUCACUUAUAUGUCACUGAACUUUGACAUGAACCCUUCUUUGAAGGAGGCUAUAACUGAAAAUGACUCUGAUUGACAAAUGUCAUUAAGCAAGUUGGCUUGAGUAGGGAGGAAUUAAUGCUCUUUUUAGCACUGAGACCUCCUCAAAAAUAUUUUUCCUGGUCACUAUAUUUGUAAGGUGGCUGUAUCCUACUUCCUCAGUGAUCUUUAUUCCAUUUCUCCACUUUACUGUCUUGAUUUAUCAUUCUGUGAAACUGUGUACAUGUUUGUUUCUUUGGUCACUAUCUGUCUUUCGUAUCAGAAUAAAACUCCAUGAAAUUAGAGAUGACCUUCAUUUUCUUCAUCACAAUAUACCCAAUGCCUAGAAUAGUGCCUGGUACAUGGUGGGAAGUUCAAAAUGCAUCCAGUGGUAUUUCAGACAUAAUAUUUAAUUCUAUAACUUGAAUGAAGAAUCAAUAUAUUAAGUCAUGGUAAGCAGAAAGAUAGAACUCAGGGAGAAGAGAAGAUGGAAGAGACAGACAAUUUACAAUUUGCAUAUCUUUCAUGUUUCUUGACUAUGGAUUAAGAAAGUAUCAAGUCUGGACUGCUGAGUGUAGACAGUCUCUGAUCAAUCUGAUGUCUUUCAGAAACUUGCAUCAAAGGACAAGACAACAUGGAAGUGAUGUCUUUAUUUCAAGUGAGACCACUGAGCAUCAAAUAUAUCUAUCAGCUCAUUCUUAUCUCAUCUCUUCCUCUCUUCUGCCCCCAACUUCCCUAAACAAAAAUACUGAGGAUUACUGUUCUAUUUUUAGAAACUAGGACACUAACUUUUCUGCCAAAAUAAUUAAUCUAUUCACUCAGUAUAUAUUAUUUGAUAACAUACUAAGCAAUGGGGCCUCCCAAAGAGACUAAGACAUUGUUUUAACUUUGCAUGAACUUUAUCAUUAAUGACUAACAGAUCUCUAACUGAUAUUGUGAUUGGUGAGAUUCCAAGGUUAUUGUUCUCAAAUGAGAAUAAUGACCCUAUUAGGAUCUUUUGGUCUCUAGCUUUGUUGUUUUGCUUUGGGACAUCAGUGGGAAAGGGAAAGAUCUAGAAAUGGAAUUUGUAUAACUUACGUUCACUGAAAAUAAGACUCAAUAAUGAAAUAACUGUUUCAAAAUGAUUGCCAUCUUAAAUUACUGACAAAAUUUUAAAAAUCAUUAACAAAAUUAUUCUGCCAAACCCUUCAUUGAGCUCUGUUCCUCCCAUUAAUUUAGUGAGCUUGUUUUUCUUCUGUGAAGGGUCAGUUCUGUUCAACAGAUUGAGCGCCUACUGUGUGGUACUGUGUCUAUCCAAAAUGAGAUAGACAAAACCCUUGCCCUUAGGAGCUCAAAAUCCAGUGGAGGAGACAGACAAACUGUAACCAAAAAAUACUACAAUAAGAACAGAAGUCUGCACAACAUCCUGGAGUAGCUCAGAAAAGGGUUGGUUAACUCUCUGAACAACGAAUGAGUAAAAAGAAUAGGGAGGUGAUGUAAGCCAAGGAGGCCUACCUUUUUGUGAAGAGGAACUACUUCAAAUCUCUCCCAAAUCUGGAGGGUGGAAGUGCAGACAUCAGUCUCGCAGAAUGGUUGGCACUGGAGAGCCUGUGAGUUGUUCCAGGUUUGUUUCUCAAUCUAAGCAUAGAGAUCAUGGUAGGCUACAUGGCUUUAGUAUUGGGAGAUGAGUCUGCCUAUAUUUUUUCAUAAAGGUAAAUUUAUUUUGCUUAAGAAAUAUCUCUUAAUCUGAGACUAUGUCUAGUUUGGUGUUUAAAAUAUUGUUUCUUUUGCAAAAUGAUAACAAUGAGAGGUUAUUGUUGUUUUAAUGCAUUUAUUUGGCAGAGAUAUACCCGGGAUCAGGAAUCAAGGGGGGUCAACAGAAAAGACGACAGGAGUUAAGCAGAAGUGACAUGUUGAUUGUGCAGGAAAAGUAUCUCUUCAGAGCUGUUUUUAAAACCUUGGUGGUGCAUACUUGUGCUCUUUGUGUGUGUGUGUACACAUGUGUUUUAUGACACUACUGUGUACUGGGCAGUCCAGCCAUAAAAAUGGAGGGAAGAACCACUGCUUGCUUGGCUCCCUCCUGGCAAAGAGAAAAGGUAGAGAUAAAGUGGAGAGACAGCAACAAUCUCAUUAACAGUCCUUUCAAUCACUGGUCCAUCAGGGAGGCAGGUGGUGAGGUGAGAAGAUGGGGAGGGGAACCUCUAAUCAGGUAGAGGAACUGAGAUGGAAUUUCUCACCUUUUUUCUUCACAAGCCCUGCUAGAGAGCUGCUGCUUUAUUCUGUAAUCAGAUGGGUGUGGGUUUGAAUUUGAGCUCUUUCACUCACUAGCUCUCAUAGCAGUGCUAGGAAAAUGAACUAUGACAAUCUGUAUGAUAGUUGUUUAGCAGAGUAUCUGGCACAUAGCAAAUGUUCAGUAAAUAUUACUACUGCCACAACUGUUGUUAUUAAGUAGUCCCAUUCAUACUAAACCACCACUACCAAUCCAGAAGCAGAAACCACCAUUAAUCAGCUUUGGGGAAAUAUAAGAAGCAGGACCUGAGUGCUGGAGGUUGGAGUCGUCCCAGUAAGGUCUGGGGAUUGCAGCAAAGGAGAAAGAGCAAUCCUAAGGACAAAAGCAGCGAGGGCAAAGGAGUCCUGCAACUGUUCAGCCAACAGUGUCAGUAAAUUGGAUUUAAGUUAGUCAGGGAUGGGGAGAAACAAACAAAAAGCAGAUGCCAUUGGAAAAAUAAAAAUAACUAGGAUGACAGAGAUAUGUAAAAACAAAUCAGUCCGUAAAUUUAUAUGGCAGGAUUAUGAACAGAAUCCAAAUAUCAAACAAUUUUAUGGUCUAACUAUAACCUUCCCUUUGAAAUGAAGAUACCAUUGCCAGUCCUUGAGGGUUCAGCACAUUUUGGAUUAAAAUUAAAUGUAUAAAUCUCCUUCUUCAGUCUGGAAUAACCAGGUUUUGAACAUUUUAAGCUAGCUUCUCUGUCUUGCAGCUUUAAAAAUGAUAACACAAUGUUAUUUGUAGUAUUGACAAUAAUAUGUAAUUAUCUUGCUAUCUUAAUUUGAUUUAGAAACAGAUCCAGCAGAGAAAGUAAUGAAGUUUCCUUUAAAGGAGAGAGUAGGUAAGAUAGGCUAGAGCUGGCUAUGUCCAUAGUCCCAGCAUUCUAGAAUCCAAUGACUCAUGCAUUUAUCAAACAUGGAGUGAGCAGUGGGAAAUACAGGUAAAGAGAGUCUCAAGGCGCCUCCCUGUAAAGAGUAAUGAGACAUGAAGAAACAAUAUAAUGUAAUGUGGGAAAUCGUAAAAUAGGGACUCAAAUAAUAUGCUAUGGGAGUCUAGGGGAAAAAAAUCCCCUAACUUGCACUGGGUUGUCUUCAAAGACUUCCACAAAAAGAAUGCAGGCUGAAUCACCUGAACAGGAAUUUUCAGAGUAGAAUUAAGGACUGAAAGGGUAGGGGGUAAGGUGGGGACAGGUUUUCAGGGUAGAAAGCUGUCUAUAGAGAACAUGUUACUUUCAGAGAACAAGUAUUUCACUGUGGCUAGAAUAAAGGAUACCUUUGGGAAAAUGUCAGAAGAUGUGAUGGGAAAGGUAGGCAGGGGAUAGAUCACAAGUGGAUUUUUAUGACUCAAUAACAAAUUUGAAUUAAUCCUGUAGGUGGGGGAGCACUUUGACCAGAUGGCAUUUUAGAAAGAUACUCAGUGUUGAUAUGGAGACUAGAUUCGAUUGUUUAGAGACCAAAGAUCUGACUCAAGGUAGGAGGCUACCACAUGGUAUAGGUGGGAUGUCACAAGGUAGUGGUUACACUGAGGCAGUGGUUGUGAGAAUGGAGAGGAGGGUGAUAAUCUGGGUGUGUGGGUAGUGGUGAUGGUGUGGGUUAGGAAUGAAGAUGGGGUUUUGGAUUAUAUUCUGAAUUCUCCCUUAGGAGCUAGGUAGAUGAAGAUGCCAAUCACCAAUGUAAAGGAUAAAAGAUAAGUUAAGGUUUGAAGAGCUUUCUUUAAAAUACACUCCAUUCUCUGAAUUAAAAUCAGUAAAAGGAUUUUGGAUGAUACACUUGCCAUGUGAUUCACAAGUCCCCAUCUCCCAGACUUUGUGUUUUGUUUCCUCUACUUGGAAUGUUCUCCCUCAACCUUCUACAAAUUCAAGAGCUAUCUAUUCUUCUAUAUCCAGCACAAAUGCCAACUUUCCCAGGAGGUCCUCUUGCAUCCUGCAGCAGUCAAAAGUAAUUUGCUCAGUGGCUCACCGUCAUGUACCAGUUGUGUGACCUAACCACCCUCUCUUUCCAUUUUGUCACCUGUAAAAAGGGGUUAGUAUUAGUAUCCACCUCACAAGCUUACUUAUUAAAUAAAUUCACUUGGGUAAAGCAAUUCGAACUGUACCAAGCACACAGAAAGUGCGGUAAUGCUGGCUGUUAUUGUCAUCCUCCCUUCUGGUACUAAACCAUUCCUACAUUGUAUUAUAGUAGUUAAUUAUGUAAGUGUCUGUCUCCCUGACCAGACUACUCCUUGAGGGUAGGAAUCAUCUUUUGAAUUUCUUUCAGUACCAAGCAUAAUGCCUUACACGACAAAUAUUUAUUGAUCCACUGAGCUCUUCCAUACUGUUGUUUUGGGCUACAGAGUUUUCUUGUUUAGGGCAAACAAUACAUUUCAACUUAUUUUUUUCCCCUCAGGCUUGAAGAAUCAGCCCAGUGUUUUAAACAAUUUAAGAGAUAUAGUUGAUGGUUAAGAUAUGUUGUCAUUCAUAUUUAUGGUUUCCUUAAUACUGAAUACUUGGGCAGGAAAGCAACCACUGAUUAUUUCAUUUUUCAAGUGGGAAACCUGGCCUUCUUUAUUACUUGGUUUCCAGGAAUGGUGAAAACUGAGGACUAUUUGUGAUUUUCCAAAGAAUAUCUAUAUUAUCUCAGAAUUAAUAACUUCCUAGUUUUUCUAUCUACUUCACUGAUGCUAAGCUAAGAAAGUGACUUACUAUCCAAUUGUCCACCCACACAAUAAUUGUGUGGUCUAAUAAUUCAAGGCCAUAUUUUCCCAAUUUAAUGAUAAGUAUGUCUUAAAGUCUUGUUUCUAGUAAGGUUAGUCCAUAGCAAAUAAAACCCAUUGUCAUCUGAGUGUAGUUGUGGCAUGUCUUUUUUAUAGGUGGUUCCACAUAAGUGAGUUUUUCAGGUAACCAAAACUUAUAAUUCAGAUGCCCAAAUGGUUUUCAUUUUAAUUACAUGGAUUAGAAAUUAUUUAAAAUAACGACUCCCUUUUUUUGCUUUCUUAAGCAUAGUAUAUCAAACAUAAGAUUACCUUUUAUUGAUAAGUUAUUAAUGUACAAUUUAAAAAUAAGCUUUUAUUUAGUACUGUACCACAUACUAAAUGCUGGGGACCCAAACCUAAAGAUUUGAAUUCCGCCUGCUAUGCAGUGCUUUUGUUAUUGUGGGAGUGACUCUGGGAGAUAUUGAGCUAUAUAGGACUGUUUGUCUCUGCACUAAUAUCUCUUAACUGCUCCGUCCUUUUAGAUUUUUAGAUACACUUUUUUGGAAUUUUUCCAGCUUCUCGUCCUCUGUUGUGCUGUGUCAACCACCAAGUUGUGCCAGCCGAGAAUUGUGGUCUCAGGUCUCCAUCCAGAUCUUUGAUUGUGUGGCCACAUGGAUUCAGGCAGCUGAACACGAGCAUGGAGGCACAGGCUUUCCCUCUAAGGGUCUCAGGAAGACCACCAAACAUCAGAGGAAACCGAGGCUGAGGUCUACAUGCAACAGUCUUUGAAGAGCACGAGAACACACUGAGACCAGCAGAAAGUCCAGAUGCUACCAUGAAUUUCUUCAGACCAUCAGCAACUAGUCAUUAUAACCUUUGGGGAGAUACAGCGCUUCACCGGUGAGUCAUUAGCUUUUGGGCCUAGAGAACAAAUCUGAAGGACCUUUUCAUAUCUUAUAAUUAAAUACAUUCUGCAGCUUGCAGAUAAACAUGCUGAUCUGACAGCGAGUUAAGGAGGUUUAUCAGCAUUUGUGCACCUGCAGCGUUACACUAAAAGACAUGACUUCAUUAAAACUCACUGUGCUUGUGAGAACAAUGAGGACUGGUGGUAGGUGUUAAAAAGAAAGACACUACUAGAUGGCGGCUUUAAGCUCAUCUUUGAAGGGAUGAACUCAUUCUAUCCGACAUGUCCAGCUGUGCAAACAGCAGCACCGAGUGAGCUGCAGUUAGCUGUACUAAUACAUGGGAUUAGAACAGAGGCUGGGCCACAUACAAAUGAUGUGAAUGCUUAAUAUACUUGAACACUAUGAAUGCUGCACAGAGGGGGAAUAAGAGCCCCAGAAGUGACAGAGGAUAUUUUGCUAACUGUCAUAAAAAAGAUAGUAUGUUAGGGCCUUCUAGGAACAUUUCUCUUGCUGGUGACUUUUACCUUUUGAGGCCAAUGUUUUCUUAGAUGAAAAAACAAUACAAAACAUCGAUCUCUCAAAAAACUCCACAGGGAAAUAACAAGGGUUGCCACAGUUACCAUUGUUCUCUCAUAAAAUCCCAGAAUGAGAAAACCAUGGGGUGUGUGUGUGUGUGUGUGUGUGUGUGUGUGUAUGCAUCUGUGUGUGUAUGUAAAUGUGUAUUUGGGCUUCAUCUGCGAUAGCAUCUCAAGCUACAAAAUAGGUGAAUGGGUGGUCUAGGUGGGCAUUAGCAGUGAGAGACAAAGAGUCUGGGCAACAGGGAUUCAGUGAUUGGGCUUGAAGGCCCAGUCAUGAAGGUGUUAGAAAGUGGGUCAAAGGAAGCACAACUCAGGUUCUAGAAACCUUGGCAACUUCUAGGAUAGAAGCAACACAGGCCUAGGAGCAACACAGACCUUGAUACUGAUGCUAAUCUCCUCUGAGGAAGUGUUAAUGGGAGUGGAUUCUUUAUAUGAUUCCUGUCCUUAGUGAGAGCUGUGGGUAGACUGAAUAGAGCUGAACCAAGCUCCUUCAUGGGCAGAUGAAAAGGAGGUUGCAGUGGGAGGAAAACCAGCAAGUCCUGAACAUUUGGAGACCCAUCCCCAACCCUCACAGCGCUGCUGUAAAAACUGAAGAAUGAAGGAUUUCAUAACAUCUUCUUCCUUAUUUCCCUAAGAUUUGAAAAUGCUAGUUAUCCUUGAAAGUUUUCUGAGUAGUGCAAAACAUAUAUAGGUUGGUUUCUCUACUAGUAUUAGGAGCUGAAUAUCAUAAGUUCCUAUGUUCCAGGACCUUAAAUGAAUGGAUCUCUUCGGGAGGUGUCCUGAAACAUUAUUCUACCACAUUUGGCUCAUGCAGUCAGAAGAGCCUUUAAUAUAAUAUACGUAAGUGAUCCCAGGAGACCAGGAGUACUUCUGACAAUGUCGUUGCAGUCCAUAAUUACGCUUUUCCUUAUUUUAGUCAUGUUUCAUGAAACUUAUACUAUCUCUUUGUCCUUUGCCAGAAUGUAUGGCAAGAGCUGAAACAAUCUGUUUUUUAAGAAAGUUUACUUAGGUAAGAUGUGAUCGUGAGUCAGAGCCAGAGAUGAAGUAAAAGACAUAACUCCAUGUUGUAAAUAAUCACAGUAUUAGUUCACAGAGGUCUUUUUGGAAACAUGAGUAAAUUAUCUUGUGUAACAACAUAUUUGCAUAUUUAGCAUCUCUAGAUAAACUAUAAACUCCUUUAAGAAUGUUAUUUGCUUCUUUUAUAUCUCCUAUCAGUGUAACACAAUGCUCAAUGUGGUAAAUGUUCACAUUCAGUUACAACUGGUAAAUGUAAAUGAGAAACACACAUAACUAACACAUUAUAUAAAUAUGCUCAUGAAUUUAUCUAAAUCAAAUCACACUUAGUCAACUCCUUUGGCAAUAUAUCUAGACCUGCCUAUUUCAUGCAUUGCAAGCAAUAGAGGUCAGGAAUUAUUGGCACGGUGGUCAAUAAGUUACUGAAGUUAAUCUUCAUUUAAUGAAUCAUCAGCAAGGGAGCUACACAGAUGACAAGUGUUCAAUUUUCAGAAAUCUCUUGCCCAAUCUGUCUCUCUUCCUUCUGUCUUCCUAGUUAUUGAUUUGAUGUAUGAGCCCCUCCUCCCAAUCCUUCAGCCAGCACCCUUGAGAGUUCAGCCUUUUAAAGAUGUUCUCAUUAGAGUCAAUAAUUCACCAUGGCAUAUUAUAUAGUACCCUGAAUAUCUAUAAAGCCGUUCUUUCAUGUUGUACAUCCUGGGGUGCUCAAAUAAUUAAUUUCUCUAGCUAUAAAGAACAAUACCUUCUAUUGUGAGUGGUAAAAUGUACUAUACACUGAACCGAUUGUAUGGACAUGGCUUGGAGACAAGCUCUGCUGGAGAGUUUCUCAAGAGGAUUUUAAUGUUGAAGACAGGUAGUUCUGUUCUUGGGCUGAUAUGAAAUCAUAAAAUAAAGUGUAAAUGUUCUUUGGAAUUAAUCAAUUACCAAUUGGUCCAAAUACUUUCUUUGGGCAUUUUUUUUCUUUCCUCUAAUUUUUAAGAGUAAAAGAACUCUUAAAAAUAGUUUAUUUAGUAUAAUUGAAAACUCUUGCUUGGCAUAAAGCAUUCCAAAGACAUAAUACCAAGACCCAGGAGAAAAUGCCAGUGUCUGUCUCUCACAUUGAUUCAGAACUGUUUAGAUUUUAAAACAGGUAUUUGUAUGAAUGCUAAAGACUUUUUGUUAAUUAAUGUUAAUGAAGGCCAGUCAUAUCCCAAUUUAGCUACCUAAAGAGGGGAAUAACAAUACGCACAUUAACAUUUUAAUUACUGCUAAGUAAAAUAAAGACUUCAAUUUAGUUUGUGGCAAAUCAGUAACAAUUUAGAUACAUUUAAAAUUACCUUUUAAACUUUUGUAGUAUAAUUAAGAGUCGGGGGUCUCAGAUUCAAAUACCAGCUCUGCCAAAAACUAACUAGGUGGCCUUGAGUUAAGUCAUUUAAGUUAAUCUGGCCUUGGUUUCCUCAGUCCUAUAAAAUAGAUUAGUUCCUUCCAGUUCUAGUACUCUAUGUUUCUUUCUAUGAUCAUCACUUAGACCUCCAAUAAAUAAAUCACUCACUCCACUGGAAUAGAAACAUUAAGUAGCCAUCUUUUUUUUUUUCCUUGAAUAAAUCCUGGGCAAAAGGUAUUUAUGGGAGCAAAGAAAUGAGUGAAUUAUUGCCAAAACAUGUAUGUUCCCUUAGAUGGAAGAGUUCCUGGGAUGAAAUUUUUGUUUUAUAGGAGACUGGCUUAGGAAACCCAAGACAGAAUGUAUAUCUAUUCAUUUCUAGGUCAUAGUGUGAAAACUUCCAUCAGAAAUCUGGGAGCAGUUCUUAAGUCAAAAAACAGACCUGGAAUCACAGUAUCCAUACAUAACAGUUGGAGGACAAAAGACAUUGCCCCAGAGACCAGAGGCACCAAAAUAUGCUACACCUAGCUACCUGAGAAUGCCUCUAGCUGGCAACUCCAGCAAAGGCCCUUUUCCCCAUCCUUGGCCAUCAUGAGUGAAAGCAAAGAACUGAAAGACUGAAAAAUCUGAGACUGAGCGUUCCUUCCUGGAGAGACUAGUACCAUAUCAACCAGAUUGGAUAUGUGUUUAUUUUUCUUUUCUGCCAUUCAGCACGUGGCAAAGACCCAGUUAGUUAUAAACAAAAUGAAAGAGGUUGUAUUUCUAAAAUUUUGCACGUCUAAGUUGUAGUAUGUAUUAAGUUUGUAUCCUUGUUAUAUGUGAUUCCCUGCUGUGGCCCAGCAGAUAAUAUAAACACUGUAUUUUAUAGACCCCAAAUUUAAUACUGGAAUCUUAAGCAAAGAAACAGUCUUUCUCACACAUUUUAUCAUAUUUGUCACUAAAAAUCCUUUGUCUCCAGGAAUAUCAAUCUGGGUACUGUUCCUAAGAACCCAAUUGGUACAACUUUUUGGAGUUAAUAACAUUGUGUUCCCACUGGUUUCCAUUGCUGUUUUGUGCACAAUUCCCCACUGAGUAUUUGAUGAAUUUCUACUCCUUGGGGGCCCCAUUUUUUGUGUGAGUAUGCUGAGGAUCCAUGCGUCUUGUCACAGGGAGGAAGAUGAUUUCCUCUGAUAACAUUCCCCUGGUACCUGAGGAGCUUAUCACAGCCCUUUAUUUGUCUGUUUCUGUUAUGUUGGCAUGCGUCCAGAGCAAUGGGAAAGAAAAGGUUGUGCUUUUACAGGGAACAUUUUAUUCCCUCUUGGGAAAAGUGAACAUGACUCAAUGUCAGGAAGGGAAAUUUUUCAUACAGAUAAAGAGAAUGAACAUCCGCCUACCUCUUUUAAUAGUUAAAACACAUUUACAGUCCUUUUGUAUUUUGUUUUCUUGAAGAGCUCAAAUUAUUUUAGAAAAUCUGAUUUCUUGAAACCAGACCUGCCCCAGCUUGUUUUGUGUGUGAAGAGGGACUAUUUUUCAUUUCUCAAAAGACCUCUGUGGUGAGGGGGGGCCAAGAUGGUGAGGUCAGGUUGGAUAUGGGUAGGUGGGGGAAGGUUUCUGAAAUAAAGAACCAAAAGCUGGGUGCAAGCUGAACUUUCUCCCUAAUGAGAGAAACCAAGAGGGUAAUUAAAAUUAUUAAAGAUAGAUCGGGUAAGGCAUUUGAACUUAUCAAUAGGUUUUAACGUAUUGGAUUGCUAUUAAAUAGUCACAAAAACUGCAUCCUGAUUUUGAAGGUGGUGGAUAUUAGAAGGGACUUGGGCAAAUCCAAGCCUCAGUUUACCUUUGUAAAUUUAUCAUUUGUCAUUUAUUUGAAAAUCUCAACUCCUUAAUAGAACUGUAAGUCUCCAGAGAGCAUAGAGUCUGUGUUUCCUUUUAUUAAAAAAUGACUUCUUGUUCUACUUCUCAGAGUACCCAGCUUAGCUCUGAGUAUGUGCUCAGUAAUGUUGUAGGUGUCUCAAUAUGUGUAUUUUAAAUUGACUGCUGUAUUAUCUAAAGAUAGAGACUCACUGGCUCUAAUUCAGCAGUUCCUAUGGGCACCAGUGAGACACUUACCCACUGGAUUAAGGACAGUAUAAUAUUUUGCUUUAACUUCUCUGUAAUGAAAAUGUGUGUUUGCUGAUGAUCAAGACAGAAAAAAUUUUUUUGUUCCUUGUUUUCUCCAGACUCUAGUUUUUGUGUUAGUCCAGAAUCAAGGAUGCCUCUUGUUGCAGAGACUACUACUUGACCUCCAAUAUCUACUUUUUACAUCUGCCUUCCUUAGUAAUUCAGCUGCCCCCGAUUUUUUUUCCCAGGGCUCAUGCUAACCUGGAAUACAUAUUAUACUCCCCAGCCUCCCUUACAGUUAGAUGUGGCUACACGACUCAGUUCUGGCCAAUGGAGUGUAUGUGGAAGUGCAACUUUUGCAUAUAGGAUACUUUCCUUUAUGGAAAGGGGAAAGCCGUUCUUCUUUCUUCCACCUGGCUGCCUGGAGUGUGGAUGUAGUGGCUGGAGCUCCCAGGUCUAUAAAGGACCAUGUUCUUCGGUAGGGAAGCUGUGCAUACAGAACAAGAUAGAAGAAGCUUUACAUUUUGAUACCGUGGAGCUUCCAUAUAACCAGCCUCUGGACUGCUCACCUCUUGAAUUCCAUCUGAGGAAGGAAUAAGCAACUGUAUUGUUUAAUUAAGUUUUCUUUUGGCUUUUAAUUGUAGUGAGAAUCUAAUUUGAACUAAUAUGGUCCCCUGAGCCAAUAAUCUGUAUUCUGUUAUCAACUGCAAUUCCGUUGUUUAAAACUUUUUUAUAAAACAGGUAAGUUCCUGAACUUUUUUUUGUAAGUUUGAAGAUAUUUUAAAUAUAAUAAUAAGGGUUACACUUUAAAGAAACCAUAUAGCAAAUUCUUUUAUAAAGGAUUUACAUUUUUUUAUUACAAAAAUGUUUUAAGUGCCAAAUCCUGGAAUGGGGACAAAAAAAGACAUUAGUGGAAGUAUUGAUGAGACCUAAAUAAAGUCUGUAGUCUGGUUAACAGUGUUGUACUAAUGUUCUUUUCUAGUUUUGAUAAUUGUACAAUGGUUAUGUAAGAUGGUAAUGUUAGAAUAAGCUAUCAGGUGGGUUCAAAAGUAAUUUGCAAUUUUUGCCAUUGAAAGUGAUGGGAAAAAAUGCAGUUACUUUUGUGCCAAACCCAAUAGUCACAGGGUAUGUGGAAAUUCAACUCAGCACUUCUUUUAAAAUUAUGGUAAAAUAUUCAUAAUACAAUUUACCAUGUAAACAAAUUUAAAUGUACAUUUCAGUGGCAUUAGUACAUUCGCAUUGUUCUGUAACCAUUACCACUAUCCAUUCCUAGAACUUUUUCAUCUUCCUAAACCGAAACUCUGUGUCCAUCAAACACUAAAUCACCAUUUUAACCCUUCCCCCAGUCUUUGGCAACCACCACUCAAUUUCUGUAUCUAUAAAUUUGACUACUCUAGGUGCCUCAUAGAAGUGGAAUUAUACACUAUUUGUCCUUUUGUUACUAGCUUAUU